rnacentral:rRNA from 1 species
UACGUAGGGGGCGAGCGUUGUCCGGAUUCAUUGGGCGUAAAGAGCUCGUAGGCGGUUUGUUGCGUCGGCUGUGAAAUCCCGAGGCUCAACCUCGGGUCUGCAGUCGAUACGAGCAAACUAGAGUGUUGCAGGGGGGACUGGAAUUCCUGGUGUAGCGGUGAAAUGCGCAGAUAUCAGGAGGAACACCGGUGGCGAAGGCGGGUCUCUGGGCAACGACUGACGCUGAGGAGCGAAAGCGUGGGGAGCGAACAGG